GACGUAGGUGGCGAACGUUAUCCGGAAUUAUUGGGCGUAAAGGGUGCGUAGAUGGUGUAGUAAGUUAUCGGUGGCAAAUCGAGGCUCAACCUCGUGGAAGUCGGUAAUACUGCUAUGCUAGAGGAUAGGAGAGGUUAACGGAACUCCCUGUGGAGCGGUGAAAUGCGUAGAUAUAGGGAAGAACACCAAUAAGGCGAAGGCAGUUAACUAUUCUACUCCUGACAUUGAGGCAUGAAAGCGUGGGGAGCAAAACGG
rnacentral:rRNA from 1 species